rnacentral:piRNA from 1 species
UCAAGAAGUUUCAUUACGACAAAUUCGC